CCGACCUGCAGCUUCCCCGUCAGAUCUUCAUGAUGAUGACGAUGAUGAAGACGGGUCAUUUUGCUCUCCUCCUCACAGGAGUUUCCAUGGCGAUCCAGAUCCACCAGUCUCCUCCCGCUCUCCUGAAGGAGGCGGGAGGAGACGUCCAGCUGGUCUGCAGCCACCAGCAGUCGGACUUCAGAGUGAUGCUGUGGUACCAACAGCCGCCGGGCAGCGCCGCCAUGAAGCUGGUGGGGUACGGAUACGUGGAGUUCAGGGACGACGCCGUGGAGGAGGCCUUCAAAGGGCACUUCAGUUUAGCAGGAGAGCUCAGCGGAGACAAACACAAGAACGCCUCGCUCUUCAUCAGGAACCUCCAAGCGCCGGAACACACCGCCACGUACUUCUGUGCAGCCAGCAAACCACAGUUUAUCAAACAUCCACCUGCUGCUGACAAAAACCUCCAACCUGCUGAAGCGCGAGAGGAUCUGAGGUUCUCCAGCCUCAAAAUGAGGAUCUGAGGUUCUCCAGCCUCAACGAGAGGAUCUGAGGUUCUCCAGCCUCAAUGAGAGGAUCUGAGGUUCUCCAGCCUCAAUGAGAGGAUCUGAGGUUCUCCAGCUUCAACGAGAGGAUCUGAGGUUCUCCAGCCUCAACGAGAGGAUCAGCGGUUCUCCAGCCUCAACGAGAGGA